UUGGGCGAUUGAAUAUGACGUCCACUUCUGUAUAAAGCGCCACUGUUUUUGUCGUCACAUCCUCUUUCAGUUGGUGUCCUCGCUUUAGCGACACAUCUCCACAAGAUGAGAGCCAAGUGGAGGAAGAAGCGUAUGCGCAGGCUGAAGCGUAAAAGGCGAAAGAUGAGGCAGAGGUCCAAGUAGAUCGGCAAUUUCCCUGUGGUUGUGAGCCGCUCCACGUGCCGGACCCACGCUUGUCAUGAAGUGAGGACCAGAUCCUGCCCAACUUACCAUGAAGGCUGGCUGACUGCUUGAGGAGGGCACAAGACUUGUCUCCUGCUCCUCAUAUCUGGACUUUGCCACCAGCCCAGCACUGACUGUUCUUAAAUGCCAGAAUAAAAACAUGGUUUAUAAACGA